rnacentral:rRNA from 1 species
UACGAAGGGGGCUAGCGUUGCUCGGAAUCACUGGGCGUAAAGCGCACGUAGGCGGCUUUUUAAGUCAGGGGUGAAAUCCUGGAGCUCAACUCCAGAACUGCCUUUGAUACUGGGAAGCUUGAGUCCGGAAGAGGUGAGUGGAACUCCGAGUGUAGAGGUGAAAUUCGUAGAUAUUCGGAGGAACACCAGUGGCGAAGGCGGCUCACUGGCUCGGUACUGACGCUGAGGUGCGAAAGCGUGGGGAGCAAACAGG